GGUACAGUUAUGGAAUCACCUGUGGAUUUUUACCAUGACAGAGUACCCAAGAAGUCAAGGAAGAAGACAUUUGUGGAUGAGCUGUUAGAUGAUGCAGAAUUUAGACAAUUUAACAAAAGGAAGUAUGCAGAAAUACAAGAAGCCACCAGAAAGGCCAGAGGACCUCACAAGCAUAUGAAAAGACUGAAGAAGAAAAA